GAAAGGGUAAGUUAAAAUAAACUUUAUGGUUCAUGUUCAUAGAAUAUGCUUGGCAUCCCUUUUU
rnacentral:tRNA from 1 species